rnacentral:rRNA from 1 species
AACGAACGCUGGCGGCAUGCCUAACACAUGCAAGUCGAACGAGACCUUCGGGUCUAGUGGCGCACGGGUGCGUAACGCGUGGGAACCUGCCCUUAGGUUCGGAAUAACUCCCCGAAAGGGGUGCUAAUACCGGAUAAUGUCUUCGGACCAAAGAUUUAUCGCCUUUGGAUGGGCCCGGGUUGGAUUAGCUAGUUGGUAGGGUAAAAGCCUACCAAGGCGACGAUCCAUAGCUGGUCUGAGAGGAUGACCAGCCACACUGGGACUGAGACACGGCCCAGACUCCUACGGGAGGCAGCAGUGGGGAAUAUUGGACAAUGGGCGAAAGCCUGAUCCAGCAAUGCCGCGUGAGUGAUGAAGGCCUUAGGGUUGUAAAGCUCUUUUACCCGGGAUGAUAAUGACAGUACCGGGAGAAUAAGCUCCGGCUAACUCCGUG